rnacentral:rRNA from 1 species
GACGAACGCUGGCGGCGUGCCUAAUACAUGCAAGUAGAACGCACAGUUUAUACCGUAGCUUGCUACACCAUAGACUGUGAGUUGCGAACGGGUGAGUAACGCGUAGGUAACCUGCCUGGUAGCGGGGGAUAACUAUUGGUAACGAUAGCUAAUACCGCAUCAUCUUGAUUAUUGCAUGAUAAUUGAUUGAAAGCUGCUAUUGCAUCACUACCAGAUGGACCUGCGUUGUAUUAGCUAGUAGGGGAGGGAACGGCUCACCUAGGCGACGAUACAUAGCCGACCUGAGAGGGUGAUCGGCCACACCGGGACUGAGACACGGCCCAGACUCCUACGGGAGGCAGCAGUAGGGAAUCUUCGGCAAUGGACGAAAGUCUUACCGAGCAACUCCGCGUGAGUGAAGAAGGUUUUCGGAUCGUAAAGCUCUGUUGUAAGAGAAGAACGGGUGUGAGAGUGGAAAGUUCACACUGUGACGGUAUCUUACCAGAAAGGGACGGCUAACUACGUG